CAUAAAUGCUACUUCCUAUUUUUUUUACUUUCACUGCUUACUUUCUUAUAUAUACUAAUUUGCCUAUUUACAUUGAUAUGCAAAAAUGAGCUGAAGACUAGCAUUAAAUAUUCCUGAGAAAAUAUUUAUUUCUUUAUCAUCAGGUUGUGUAAUAUUGUGUAAUUGGCUUAUCUUUCCUGUGUCUCAGUAUAACAGCCUUGGAGAUGUGCCCAUCAGAUCUCACUUUACUGGGUCCUCCUUCCCUGCCAGUCAGUGACUGAGCCAGUUUCCAAACUCUUGUAUCACUUCUUGUUUUCUUGGACCACUUGAAGUGGUCCAAGCUCUGUAGGGAGGGUUGAGUUCCUGGACAUUGAACUUGUGCAUUUGCAAAGGGGCCCACAUUUGAUAAAAUGUUCUGCUCUCAACCUCUUAAAAUUAUUAUUAUUAUUAUUUUUUUUUUUUUUUGAGAUGGAGUUUCACACUGUCACCCGGGCUGGAGUUGUGCAAUCUCAGCUCACUGCAACCUCCGCCUCCUGGGUUCAAGCAAUUCUCCUGCCUCAGCCUCCCUAGUAGCUGGGAUUACAGGUGCCCACUACCACGCCCAGGUAUUUUUUUGUAUUUUUAGUAGAGGCGGUGUUUCACCAUGUUGGCCAGGCUGGUCUCGAACUCCUGACCUUGUGAUCGGCCCACCUCAGCCCCCAAAGUACUGGGAUUACAGGCGCGAGCCACCGCACCCAGCCUUAAAAUUCUUAAUAAUUAUAUCGUUGAACUUAUUUAUGUUGGGUAAGCGAAGGCCUAUGGGAUAAUGAAGCAUGCAUGUCCCCUCCUUAAGGGAUCCUAUUAUAUCCUUUCUUAUGCAUGUUACUUUCCUGUAUUAAUCAAACCUUUAAAGUUAAAAGUAUAAAAGAAGGCAAAGGAAAGAUAGGGCAAAUCAUAGCUCCUGUUUUUAUUGCUUCUUUCUUGUAAAUGAAAAAACAUUCUGGUAGAACAUGCAGGUAUCAAGAAGUGAAAUAAAAAGUGAAAUUGGUUUUGUGCAGUGCUUCCACUCUUCUGGGAACAAAUUGUAUAUACAUAUGCAAGCUACAAAAAUAGGAAUUGUGUAAUUGCAGUGAUUUUGUAUACAAAUUAUGAGCUCUUACAUUAUGUUUGAAACUGGCACUGCACCAAAUAAAUAUGAAUGGUAAUGCUAACUAUUUAAAUUUUAUUUUUUCCAUAAGUAGAACCACAUUAAAUAGCAAAUUAAGCAAAAUAAAGAAACCUUUAUAGCAUGUUGAGAGAGGAUGUGGGAGAAAAAAAUGCUUUAUAUAUUAGUUUGUUUAAUGGCUCAUUUUUCUUAAACAAGGGACCCCACAUUUUGAUCUUGCAAUGGACCCUACAUAUUAUAGAGGUGGUUUUGUUUACAUAUUUAGAUGUGCUGGCCCCCAAAGGGAGAACACUCCUAUAAGAGGAUACAACAAAGCUUCCGUUGGGCUACAUGGUAUGGCAGCAACAAAGGAACUUUGAAUUACUGACAUCCAGUGAUCAUCAGUUUUUUCUGAAGAAGAUAGUUUCAUGGGAACUAUGGACAAGCAGCUCUCUGAACAUACAUGGAUCUGUGCAGUGCCAGAGAUGAACUGUAGAAGCCAAGGAAUGCACUCUCACAUUUACACUCAGCAGGACAUUUCGUGAGGAGAACAGCUGACUGACAGCCUUCAGCUAUGACAUUCUGCUAAUGUCACACUUUCUUUGGGCUGCUUCCAGCCAAUGUCUGAGGACAAAAGGAGUAUAAGAUGAGUCCUUCUGGCCUAAGACCAGACUUUCCUAACUGGCAACUUUUUCUUGGAGAAAUCUCAUUGGCCUGUCCAACAGUGUAUCGUAACUGUGGCAUAGGACUUUUUUACCCAUAUCUCCCUUCUUCCCUCUCCCUUCCUCUAUCCCUCCCUUUCUUCCUUCAUUCACCUUCCUUCACCCUUUCACAAACAUCAUAGCUGAUCUUCAGCUUAAGUCACUUAGUGCCUACUUCUGUUCCUUCUUUCUCUUCACAAGUAUUUUCUUUAAAAAAUCUCUCGUACAUCUAAUUCUAUUUGGCACUACAUUGACUGAGGACCCAAAUGAACAAAUUCAGUUACAUCUUUAAAAACUAGUUCAACCAUUGUGGAAGUCAGUGUUGCGAUUCCUCAGGGAUCUAGAACUAGAAACACCAUUUGACCCAGCCAUCCCAUUACUGGGUGUAUACCCAAAGGACUAUAAAUCAUGCUGCUAUAAAGACAC
rnacentral:lncRNA from 1 species